CACGAAAGUGUGGGGAGCAAACAGGAUUAGAUACCCUGGUAGUCCACACCGUAAACGAUGGAUACUAGGUGUUGGCAAUGAAUAAUUGUCGGUGCCGGCGCUAACGCAAUAAGUAUCCCACCUGGGGAGUACGACCGCAAGGUUGAAACUCAAAGGAAUUGACGGGGGCCCGCACAAGCAGUGGAGUAUGUGGUUUAAUUCGAAGAUACGCGAAGAACCUUACCAAGGCUUGACAUACAGAGGAAUAAGUAGGAAACUAUUUAGCUCUUCGGAGUCUCUGUACAGGUGGUGCAUGGUUGUCGUCAGCUCGUGUCGUGAGAUGUUAGGUUAAGUCCUGCAACGAGCGCAACCCCUAUUUCUAGUUGCCAGCACAUAAUGGUGGGAACUCUAGAAAGACUGCCGGUGAUAAAUCGGAGGAAGGUGGGGACGACGUCAAAUCAUCAUGCCCUUUAUGUCUUGGGCAACACACGUACUACAAUGGCCGUUACAGAGAGAAGCAAUACAGUGAUGUGGAGCAAAACUCAAAAAGCGGUCUCAGUUCGGACUGUAGGCUGAAAUUCGCCUACACGAAGUCGGAAUUGCUAGUAAUGGCAGGUCAGAAUACUGCCGUGAAUACGUUCCCGGGCCUUGUACACACCGCCCGUCACACCAUGAGAGUUAGAAAUACCCGAAGCCUGUGAGCUAACAGUUUAAUAUUGAGGCAGCAGUCGAAGGCAGAGCUAAUGAUUGGGGUGAAGUCGUAACAAGGUAGCCGUAGGAGAACC
rnacentral:rRNA from 1 species